rnacentral:rRNA from 1 species
UACGUAGGUGGCAAGCGUUGUCCGGAUUUAUUGGGCGUAAAGCGCUCGCAGGUGGUUCGUUGCGUCGUGCGUGAAAGACCCCGGCUCAACUGGGGGAUGUCGUGCGAUACGGGCGGACUGGAGGCCAGUAGGGGGAUGCGGAAUUCCGGGUGUAGUGGUGGAAUGCGUAGAGAUCCGGAGGAACACCAGCGGCGAAGGCGGCAUCCUGGACUGGUCCUGACACUCAGGAGCGAAAGCGUGGGGAGCGAUCCGG